GAUGAACGCUGGCGGCGUGCCUAAUACAUGCAAGUCGAGCGAACAGACGAGGAGCUUGCUCCUCUGACGUUAGCGGCGGACGGGUGAGUAACACGUGGAUAACCUACCUAUAAGACUGGGAUAACUUCGGGAAACCGGAGCUAAUACCGGAUAAUAUAUUGAACCGCAUGGUUCAAUAGUGAAAGACGGUUUUGCUGUCACUUAUAGAUGGAUCCGCGCCGCAUUAGCUAGUUGGUAAGGUAACGGCUUACCAAGGCGAUGAUGCGUAGCCGACCUGAGAGGGUGAUCGGCCACACUGGAACUGAGACACGGUCCAGACUCCUACGGGAGGCAGCAGUAGGGAAUCUGAGGCAAUGGGGGAAAGCCUGACGGGGCAACGCCGCGUGAGUGAUGAAGGUCUUCGGAUCGUAAAACUCUGUUAUUAGGGAAGAACAAAUGUGUAAGUAACUAUGCACGUCUUGACGGUACCUAAUCAGAAAGCCACGGCUAACUACGUG
rnacentral:rRNA from 1 species